CAACAAAAAAAAAGUUAAAGAAUGAUAUGUGACAAACUGUGAUUUUGUUUGUGAGGAGGUUACGUCGUCCAAGUUAUAUUAAUCGCCUAUUGGGUUGUGUACAAAUUAUUUGGGCGGCCCAACGAAUCCAAUUUUGUGAGAGAAAAUGAUACAAACUUUGGCCCAGCAAUCAACUUAAAGCUCAAUUAACAUUCUGGUCCAGAACAAGGGCUAGUUUCCACCCUCCAAAAUCCCAAAAUCAAGAAUGUUCUCCCUCCAAACUCUCAAAUCUUGCAGAUCACUCCAACGCCAACGUACUGCCCCCGUUCAUAUCCUCAUUGCUUUCUUCAGUUGUUUUCGACUUGUCACGUACUUGAUCGAGAACGCUGUUGAACUCGAAAAAAUUGUUCUCCACCAUGAUGUACAUUUCUGGGACGUUCCCGCACAGAAGAGUAUCGAAGAAAAGAAGAGGGAAGAUGAGGAAAGAAAUCGUGCUACCCAGCAGCUCAAAGCAAAAGUGCCUUCAAGAAUUCAAUUUGUAUGCCUUCUGUAAGCAAAUUGCUGCUGGUUUGGCUUUCUUGUGCUAAAGGCUUGACAAUUAAGGUUGAGAUAGCUAGUCAGUUUGUAUUUUACAAGACGACAUUCCAAACGGUUAUAAUCUAUUUUGAGGGGGGUUUCGAGCUUAAGUGCGACACAACUUUAAUCUACAACAAUUACUGUUUGUGCUA